rnacentral:rRNA from 1 species
GACGAACGCUGGCGGCGUGCCUAAUACAUGCAAGUCGAGCGGACCAAGAAGAGCUUGCUCUUUGAGGUUAGCGGCGGACGGGUGAGUAACACGUGGGCAACCUGCCUGUAAGCUUGGGAUAACUCCGGGAAACCGGUGCUAAUACCGAAUACAACAAAGGACCGCAUGGUCCCUUGAGAAAAGACCUUGUGUCACUUACAGAUGGGCCCGCGGCGCAUUAGCUUGUUGGUGGGGUAACGGCCUACCAAGGCGACGAUGCGUAGCCGACCUGAGAGGGUGAUCGGCCACACUGGGACUGAGACACGGCCCAGACUCCUACGGGAGGCAGCAGUAGGGAAUCUUCCGCAAUGGACGAAAGUCGGACGGAGCAACGCCGCGUGAGCGAUGAAGGUUUUCGGAUCGUAAAGCUCUGUUGUCAGGGAAGAACCGCCGGGAUAACCUCCCGGUCUGACGGUACCUGGCGAGAAAGCCCCGGCUAACUACGUGCCAGCCGCCGCCGUAACAC